rnacentral:tRNA from 1 species
GCCAAGAUAGCUCAGUUGGUAGAGCAAUGCAUUCGUAACGCAUAGGUCCCGGGUUCGAAUCCCGGUCUUGGCU